GGCCAACUCCCCGCCGGCUCUCUGCCACCUGUCUGAGUAGGGGCUUGUCUGGCCCUCAUGGGAGGGUGAGGAGAAAGUCAACGAAACCCAUCAGCCCCUUGAUUAUUGGUGGUCUGGUCGAAGCUUUAAGGGGAGUGAAAUAUCUCAUCAGGAUCCAGUGUGGUCCCUUAUCUUUGGAAAUGAAAGCAUCCUUGUUGUUUUGCCGCAGCAGAAAAUGAGGGGAGGUGACUGUUGCAGAGGAGAAGACCCCGGUGCUUAGCAACCAAGAGCAGACACAGCCUCUGGUCGCAUCCUGACUUAAGCAAACCAGUUGUAAGACACAUACAGGGGCAUGGCGGAAAUGCGACACAGACAGAUAGCAGACAAAUCGGGGAGUUAUUCGUUGUGUCAGGUAUUUGUCAUUGUGGGUAUGAGGAAAACUGUCCUUAUAUUUUGGAGAUGCAUAUUGAAAUAAUCAGGGAUAUAUUAGCAUUAUGUCCAAAUUCACUCUAAAAUGUUUCCACAGAAAAACAGCAAGAAAAUACAGCAACAUUUUAUUAAAUAAGGCGCUCUCUGCAUCCUCUGGAGCCGUGGCUAAGGGAGCGAGGACUAGUCGAGAGACGGGAUUUGACUCACCAGCCACUGACCAACCGGGAACGAGCCCAACUGGCUUCUGCGUUUUUGAUGAGAUUUCGAGGCCUUUAAGGACUUCAAAGGCGAAUAGGUUUUAAAGUUACAGGAAUGAAAGUAAUAACUGGCUAAUAUUCAAAGGUGAGAAAGACUUGGUGAAUGGAUUGUAAACGACUUUUCUUGUUGAAGACGCUGAGUGUGACUCGAGGUCAUCGUUUCAACCUCAGGGACAACUGCCCCUGACUACAUCGUGGAUGCAGAUGAUGUGGAUGCAGAUGUCGUGGACGCAGACGUCUGUGGACGUAGACGUCGCGGAUGCAGAUGUCUGUGCCACCCGCCUCGGGGACUAUUGGGAAACACAGGAGACAAGGCUGAAGGCACUUACGUUGCUUCCAUGUCUUGGCUGUUGUGACAGUGCUGCAAUGAUCAUGGGGGUACAGAGAUCUCUUCAAGGUACUGACUUCGCUUCCUUUGGGUAUAUACCCAGAGGAAAAAUUUCUGGAUCACAUGGUAGUUCUGCGUUGAGGUUUUUGAGGAACCUCCAUGCUGUUUUCUGUAGUAGCUGCACCCAUUUACA
rnacentral:lncRNA from 1 species